GACGAACGCUGGCGGCGUGCUUAACACAUGUAAGUUGAACGGUCCGGCAUGGAAGCUUGCUGAAGUGUCGGGUAGUAGCGGACGGGUGAGUAAUGCAUGAGAAGCUGCCAUUGGGAGGGGGACAACAGUUGGAAACGGCUGCUAAUACCCCAUAUGCCGGAAGGUGAAACGGAGUGAUCCGCCCGAUGAGGUGCUCAUGUCCUAUCAGCUAGUUGGUGAGGUAACGGCUCACCAAGGCGACGACGGGUAGCCGGCCUGAGAGGGUGACCGGCCACACUGGAACUGAGAUACGGUCCAGACUCCUACGGGAGGCAGCAGUGGGGAAUAUUGGGCAAUGGGGGCAACCCUGACCCAGCGACGCCGCGUGAGGGAAGACGGCCUUCGGGUUGUAAACCUCUUUUGUACGGGAAGAAGGACGUGACGGUACCGUGCGAAUAAGUCCCGGCUAACUACGUGCCAGCCGCCGCGGUAA
rnacentral:rRNA from 1 species